AUCAGGAGCCCCUGUCCUUCUGCUGAGUGUCUCCAUCAGGAGCCCGGCACGCUGAUCAGAAGAUAUACUAUGGUUAAUAAGAAGAUGGACAGAACAGCCUGAUAAAGACCCUCUGGAGAAUUCCCUCUGCUGGGCCAAGUUCCAAAAAUGUAGAGACAGACCCUCUAACCUGCUGUGGUGGAGUUUACAGACUGACCCUCUAUGCUGUGAGAAAGGGGAAGUCCAGUCCUGGACACUGACAGACUGGAUCUUCACCAGUAGGACUGAAGAGGAGCCAGACUCACUACACCUCUGCCUCAAAACCUCUGCCUCAGACUGAAGCUAAAGACAGAGGCUCUGAAGCUCCCACACUGCACACUCUAUAAGAACAACCAUCCGUCUAAUUGUUCUGUGGUGGUAAACACAAGUUCAGUUUGAGUUUGAACUGUAUGGUUUGGCUACACUCAUCU